rnacentral:lncRNA from 1 species
UCCGCUUCGCUUCCAGUCACAAGUCUGAAAUCAAGGUGCCAGCAGGGGCGGCUCAUCUCAGGAAGACCCCGUUCUGGGACUCUGUUCGCUUAGGCACGUGGAAGGCUGGAGUCUGGCAGGCCUCACCUCCCGCUUCCUCCUGAUCCUCCAGUGUCACCAGGCGACUUAGAGGGUUAAACCUGAACGGCUCACAGUGGACUGCUGAGUUCAGGCAGUGUAGGCGACAGAGACCCACAGACAGGAGCCGACCCACGUCCCUUCUUGGCUGUGCAGUUUCACGACAGCAGGAACUGCCUGCUGGCCCUGGAUUCUCCGGCUCCACCCCCAGGGACCUGGGCAGGCUGUGCUCCUGGGCUGGAUGACACCCAAGCCACCAUUCUGGAAAACCAUGGACAGUGGCAAGCAACUGAUUUCUCCUUCACGUCUUGGACAAGGUCCAGCGCCCCACACAUGAUCUUACGGUAAAUGAUCUUCCUUUUAGUCCUCGUUAUAUUAUAGUUAGGGUGCCAUAUUGAUGUUUUCUUUUUUCCUUUUUGGGGGGACUGGGUCUUGCUGUGUAGUUCAGGCUGGCCUUGAACUCACUAUAUAGCCCAGCUGGCCUUGAGCUUGCAGCGAUCCUCCUGCCUCAGCCUCCUGAGUGUAGAAUUAUAGGCACACACUACCAUGUCUGACUGAUGUUGAUGUUUCUAAAGUCACGUGCAGUGGUGAGUUCUG